rnacentral:Y_RNA from 1 species
GGCUGAAGUGAAGGUAGUAAGUUACCUCUGGAUUGUUCACAGUUACAGAUUGAACUCCUUUUUCUACUCUUUCCCCUCUUUUCACUACUGAACUUGACUAGUCCAAA